rnacentral:rRNA from 1 species
CGGAGGGUGCAAGCGUUAUCCGGAUUUACUGGGUUUAAAGGGUGCGUAGGUGGGCAGGAAAGUCAGUGGUGAAAUCUCCGGGCUUAACCCGGAAACUGCCAUUGAUACUAUUUGUCUUGAAUACUUUGGAGGUAAGCGGAAUAUGUCAUGUAGCGGUGAAAUGCUUAGAUAUGACAUAGAACACCAAUUGCGCAGGCAGCUUACUACACAGUAAUUGACACUGAGGCACGAAAGCGUGGGGAUCAAACAGGAUUAGAUACCCUGGUAGUCCACGCCCUAAACGAUGGAUACUCGACAUUAGCGAUAUACAGUUAGUGUCUGAGCGAAAGCAUUAAGUAUCCCACCUGGGAAGUACGAUCGCAAGAUUG